UGAUCAGAGUCGAAAGGCGUGAGGAGAGGAGCCCGCGGCCCAUCAGCUAGUUGGUGAGGUAAUGGGCUUACCCAAGGCUACGACGGGUAGGGGGAUCUGAGAGGAUGUCCCCCACACUGGAACUGAAACACGGUCCAGACGCCUACGGGUGGCAGCAGUGAGGAAUAUUGGACAAUGGGCGAAAGCCCGAUCCAGCAACGCCGCGUGGAGGAUGAAGGCCUUCGGGUCGUAAACUUCUUUAGAGGGAGACGAGAAAGGACGGUAUCCCUAGAAUAAGCGACGGCAAACUACGUG
rnacentral:rRNA from 1 species